rnacentral:rRNA from 1 species
GAUGAACGCUAGCGGCAGGCCUAACACAUGCAAGUCGAGGGAGAGGUUACCUUCGGGUAACCAAAACCGGCGCACGGGUGCGUAACGCGUAUACAAUCUGCCUUUCACAUAGGGAUAGCCCGAAGAAAUUUGGAUUAAUACCUAAUGGUAUAUAAGAGCGGCAUCGUUUUUAUAUUAAAGCUACGGUGGUGAAAGAUGAGUAUGCGUUCUAUUACCUAGUUGGAGAGGUAACGGCUCCCCAAGGCGACGAUAGAUAGGGGUUCUGAGAGGGAUGUCCCCCACACUGGUACUGAGAUACGGACCAGACUCCUACGGGAGGCAGCAGUGAGGAAUAUUGGACAAUGGUCGGAAGACUGAUCCAGCCAUGCCGCGUGCAGGAUGAAGGUCCUAUGGAUUGUAAACUGCUUUUGUAAGGGAAGAAUAAGGAGUACGUGUACUUUGAUGACGGUACCUUACGAAUAAGCAUCGGCUAACUCCGUGC